CACUGCGGGCUGUAUAGAGAAGCAAAAAGCACACGCACAUUGCCUUCUAGGGGCUUACUUCCUCAUCAGAGAGACACACAGGCUGAACCAACAAAGUCCCAGGCAAUGAGUCUUGGUGCUGUAAUAGAACGUGAACAAAGAGUGAAAAGAAGCAAAGGAAGAGAAACUCCAAAUCGGGGAAGAUUUACAGAAGUGGCACUGAACUUGGUCUGAGAGGAUGGAUGCAACUCAGAGGAAAACAGAAGCUGUUCCAUUUGGACAAUACAACACGAACAACCAGAGUCAGGCAAGGUGUUAUUAUGAAUGCUGUGCUCCAGUCCACUGCAGUAUUAUCAGCUAACCCUCAACUGUCCCAUCUUGGCAGGUGGAGCGUAAUCAGGACAUCAAAAAAAAGGAAAAAAAUCCCUGUCUCCUGGCCAUAAGUGAUUCUAAUGCGGGCACCCCGAAGCACCACUCAGGGGAAGACUACACUUCCAUCCGACCCCUGAUUCUAGAUGAGCAGAGAGGUUAAGAAAUCUGCCCAGGACCCCAGGACUCGGGGAGGUAGGACCAGGAUCCAGAAAGGACCCAGGAGUCCAGCCAGCCUGGCUCUCAGCCAGCUCCCUCACUCUGCUGAACAUCCCCCCGACACCAGCUCCCACCUCCUCCUCUGCCUGUUAUCCCACAGAAGUAGCUGGAAGGGCUGUCACCAAUUUUUGGAGAAUAUGUCUGCUGAACUGACUUAGGAGAUUCCAGGAGCACUCCUCAAAGACACCAGCCGUCACCACCAAGGUUGCGGAAAGUGGGGAUUAUGUCCACACCUCUUCCCUGGUCCCCUCACCUCUUCCCCAGGCGUCCCACCUCUCCUCUGGCUUUUCAGGCCAAAUCUCCCCACUGGGCAUCUGGUCCCCACAGGAGGGGUGGGGGGACACCAGGAGGAACCUUAAAUCCCUUUGUUCUGGACUCCAUGGCUUUACUUGUACGGCCUUUUUAAAAAAAUUAAUUGGCUUCAUUUUUUUAGAGCAGUUUAAGGUUUAUAGAAAAACUGAGUGGACUGUGCAGAGACUUCCCACGUAUCUCCUCCCCCAUCUCCCCGCCCCACGUACAGAGUCUCUUAGAAUUAACACCUUGCUUCAGUGUGAUACAGUUGUUGUAACCCAUAAGCCAAUAUUGAUAAGCUAAUAAUCAGUUUCCAGUAAGGUUCACUCUUUGUGUUGUACUUUCUAUAGGUUUUGACAAAUGCAGAAUGUCACAUAUCCACCAUGAUAGUGUCACACAGAGUAUUUUCACUGCCCUAAAAAUCCCCUGUGCUCCACACAGUCAUUCCUUCCUCCUUCCCCAUAAACCCUGGUGACCGAUGGUCUUGUACUGUCUCUUCGGGUCUGUCUUUUCCAGAAUGCCAUACAGUUGGAAUCACACAGUAUGUAGCCUUUUCAGACUGGCUUCCUUCACUUAGCAGUAUUUAUUCAAGCUCCUCUGUCUUUUCAUGAUUUGAUAGCCCAUUUCUUUUUAUUAUCGAAUAGCAUUUCAUCAUACGAUGUACCACUGUUUACCCGUUCACCUCCUGAAGGACAUCUUGGUCGCUUCCAAGUUUUGACGAUUAUAAAUAACACUGCUCUAAAAAUGUGUGUGCAGGAUUUUGUGUGGUUGUAAGUUUUCAACUCAUUAAUUCAUUCGGACACAGCAUUUUUUUUUAACAGCUCCAUCAGCAUGCUGGCUUAUUUUGAAUUUACAGGC